UGGCUCAGUGGAUAGAGUGUUCGCCUGCAAACUGAAGGGUACUGGGUUCGAUUCCCGG
rnacentral:tRNA from 1 species